rnacentral:lncRNA from 10 species
GUGGCGGGUGGUUUGCUUUCUAGCACACUAGUUUACAUUCGGAAUCUUAAAAAUGAAAACAUUUGCCAUCUUACAGUGAGUGAUACAUCACAUUGGCUUGCCCCAGUUUUUGUGUUCUUUUUUUUUUUUUCACUAUUCAACAUGUCUUCGUAUUAUCUUCCUUCCUCUCGUAUCUGAUAGACAAAGAAUGAUAUAAAAUUUUGGUUGAAAAAAGCCAGUUGAUUGGGAUGACUAGAAAUGUUAACUUUUUCAGUAAAAAGCUUUCACCGAAUCACUGGGCAGUUAGUAAUGCAGCUUACAAAUAAAUAAAGCUGAGGCGAGAGGUUUAAACAGCAAGAAAAGCUGCAGAGCAUAUUGAGGAAGGGAAGCAGUGAAAUGGUGGUUUUAAUACAUCCCAAACUGGAAGCAAGAACCCUAACACAAAGAGGAUUGGAAUACUCUACCAUCUGUAAGGAAGUAGCUAGCUACAAGCCACCUCACACAAAACACCCACUAAGGCCUUUCACCGAGAUCCUCUUGUUAUAUUCUCAUUAUGAAUCCCCAGCAGGUGCACCUCAAUAAAUAGGUGUGGAGGAUACUGCUGAGGACCUCUAGGUCACCUAAGCAGAAACUGCUGCCAUCAAAGCAGACUGCCACCAUGCAUCCGCGGAGAACUCCCUAAUCCAGUCGCUGCUGGAGAGGGAGGAGACAGGCAGUGACAAGUCCCGAGGAGGGCCUCGGUCCCUCCUGUCGUGCAGGGAGUUCUGCUCCUGGAAAUAUUCCUCCUCUUCAUCGAAGAAGCCGUUCUCCAGAGCGUAAGUGCAGUCUGGGCUGGAGGCUGCCUGGCAUGCCCCCUUGUACUCCUGAAUCG